UCUGGAUGAUGUCACAGUUAACAGAACGCCAGACCAGGUGUACCUACACUGUAAACCCGAACAUUACUACUGACUCAAAAGUAUUGUGAAGAAAACAAUCAAAAUCCACUAUCAAGUCAACCCAACUUAAAGUUACUAAGCGUUCCGAACGAGGGAUGCAUUUAUAAUUUUGUGCUACUUAAACUCUCUGAGUGAUCAUCAUUGCCUUACUCGAAAGCUUUGAAUGCACACAGACGUGCAACGUAAUGACGUCAGUGCGUCAAAACGUCAGCGGGAACCAGCCACGCAAAAUCAAACCAACAUGGCGGUCGGGAAGCGAGUGGAGCGAGCGGUUGCUGAAGCCAAGAAAACGUGUAAGUAUGAUGGUUAAGUCUUUCCAAACACAUCUGCAUGUGGUUUAAUUGUGUAAGUGCCACAGCGGAGUCGGUUUUUCUGCUUGUCUGCGCCUUAUUUUACACAUUCGGCGUAACACGCGGUCCAUGUAACACGUGUUACAUGGAGUGAGUGCAAGAAUAAUAAUGAUAAAAAAUUUUGUGACGACAUUUGUAUUCCUUAUAAAUGUGUUUCUGUCAGUAAGGUCGAUAUUUGAUUAAAAAUGUAACUAGUACGAUAUGGCAGAGCUGUUUCCCCGUCGCUGGAGGAAGAUGUUGCCUGAAAAGGGAGGGAAUUAUGGCGCGUUCUUUUUGCUUUGGAGGUGGGCAUUCACGUCAUCAUAAUAAUUGCGCUCGUUUUUGUAUAAUUAUCGAAGACUAAUGUUAAUCCGUUCAGUUUGUCUCUCAGUAUACUUGCAGGAAGAGGACACACAGAUUUUCAAGACUUGGAACAGUGAGGAAUCAGAGGAGCCGGACAUCGGGAACACGCCCAUUGGGAUUCUCACGGAGAUCAGAGGAAGAAGUGCAUCUCCACUUCACUUCAGUCCUAUAUCGACAGCCAUUGUGGUUGAAGAUGAAUUUGUCAUGAGGGACAUUACCACUUUUGCUGAUGCAUAUGUGUUGCUGUUUGGGCUGGUUUAUGCUUUGCAUCUGGACUAGAAGCUUGUUGGCACCUUCACCUUCAUUCAGAAGCUGCUCAUGGGUUUGGAUGAUGGUGCACCCCUGAAACCUUCUCUGCUAUCUUUGAAAAAUGACCUGCUGUCAAUGUAGACAAUAUGUAAUUGUCCUCCAUUCCUUCCUUUCUUUUUUCUUCCCACCAUCAUUUCCUUCUUCUUCCUAGACCCAUUCUGUUGUUUUUCUUUUUUCGUUCCUCCCUCCUUUCCCUACACCAUUCCUUCUUUCAUCCUUGACCCAAUCUCGUCUGUUUGACCAUCCUUCUUUACUUUAAAGCACUGGAAGUGUGUGUGUGUGUGUGUGUCUUAGUAACACUCAAAAUAGAUGUACAUCAGGGUCAGUGCAGGAGAAAACCAAUGGAACAAAAUGUUUAUUUUUAUACAUUUAUUUUUGGCCCCUUUUCAAAAAGCAUAGAUUUUAAAUCUAUAAAAAAAGACAUUUUUAUUUUAUUACAUUUUGUUUUCCAUUUCUGUGCAAUAACUUUACAUCUUUAGAUGUACGUUAUUUAUUGCAUUUAUUAUUUAUUCAUUUAAAGUUAUUUAUUGUCUUAAGUUCUGUUUUUGAAUAGAAUGGCCAUAGCUGUAAGUUUACUAUUUAAGGUUUAAGGCCAUACCUUUACACUGAGUGCAAGUUUCCAGUGGGUUUUCUUUGGAUAAAAAAAUAAACAUUUGCAGUGAUUUAAUCAUAACCAUACAACCUAUUUUAUGUAAUACAUGCGUGGAUGGUUAUAUUUUGAGUUUUUCAAGAUAUGAGCGGUUUCCUACAACUAAAUAAGGAGUAUAUAGUUACAAAUUUGCAUUUGUUCCCCUUUGAUAGUUUGAUUCCCAUGGAUAAAUGGUUUUAAGAUGCCAUAUUUGAUCUUGACCACUGAAGAUCCUUGUUUUUUUUUUGUAAUACAUUUGCAAAGAAUUUGCACACACGCAUACAGAUGUGUAUGUGUGUGGUGUUCGUUUACAGCUAUGAAGAAAAUACAUUUGAAUAAAAACAUUUAAAAUAUUC